GCGACCCCAGGUCAGGCGGGAUCUCCCGC
rnacentral:rRNA from 1 species